UACCAGCACCCCGAGUGGUCGGGACGUUUUAUUGGGCCUAAAGCAUCCGUAGCCGGUUCUACAAGUCUUCCGUUAAAUCCAACUGCUUAACAGGUGGGCUGACGGAAGAUACUAUAGAGCUAGGAGGCGGGAGAGGCAAGCGGUACUCGAUGGGUAGGGGUAAAAUCCGUUGAUCCAUUGAAGACCACCAGUGGCGAAGGCGGCUUGCCAGAACGCGCUCGACGGUGAGGGAUGAAAGCUGGGGGGAGCAAACCGG
rnacentral:rRNA from 1 species